rnacentral:rRNA from 1 species
CGGCCGCAGUACCCUGACUGUGCAAAGGUAGCAUAAUCAAUUGGCUUUUAAUUGGGGUCUAGAAUGAAUGGAUUAACGUAGAAGAUCUGUCCCAGUAGAAAUUUUUAGAAAUUUUUAAGAAGGUGAAAAUCCCUUCAAUUAAUAAAAGACGAGAAGACCCUAUGAAUUUUAAAAAAUUACAAUAAUCUUUUUUGCUGGGGCGGCAAGGGAUCAAGAAACAUCCUCACUAUCGGUUAUAUCCGUAUUGAAUAAAUUACCUUAGGGAUAACAGCGCUAAUGCGACCUCGAUGUUGGACUAGGAAACUUUAAUGUUAGAGACUUUAAAGUAGGUU